rnacentral:misc_RNA from 1 species
GAUGAAGAACGUAGCGAAAUGCGAUAAGUAGUGUGAAUUGCAGAAUUCAGUGAAUCAUCGAAUCUUUGAACGCACAUUGCGCCCGCCAGUAUUCUGGCGGGCAUGCCUGUUCGAGCGUCAUUUCAACCAUCAAGCCCCCGGCUUGUGUUGGGGACCUGCGGCUGCCGCAGGCCCUGAAAAGCAGUGGCGGGCUCGCUGUCACACCGAGCGUAGUAGAUUUCAUCUCGCUCAGGGCGUGCUGCGGGUUCCGGCCGUUAAACCACCUUCAUAACCCAAGGUUGACCUCGGAUCAGGUAGGAAGACCCGCUGAACUUAAGCAUAUCAAUAAGCGGAGGA